rnacentral:rRNA from 1 species
CUCGUAGGCGGUUACGUAAGUCGGAUGUGAAAACUCGAGGCUCAACUUCGAGACGCCAUCCGAUACUGCGUUGACUUGAGUCCGGUAGAGGAGUGUGGAAUUCCUAGUGUAGCGGUGAAAUGCGCAGAUAUUAGGAGGAACACCUAUUGCGAAGGCAGCACUCUGGGCCGGUACUGACGCUGAGGAGCGAAAGCAUGGGUAGCAAACAGGAUUAGAUACCCUGGUAGUCC